UGAGCAAUCUGCCCUUCUCUUCGGAAUAAGCGUUGGAAACGACGUCUAAUGCCGAAUACGACCUCCUUUCGCAUGAUCGGAGGUGGAAAGCUCCGGCGGAGAAGGAUGAGCUCGCGGCCUAUCAGCUAGUUGGUGUGGGUAAUGGCCCACAAGGCGACGACGGGUAGCCGGCCUGGAGAGGGUGACCGGCCACACGUGGGACUGAGACACGGCCCAGACUCC
rnacentral:rRNA from 1 species